CGUUGCAGAAAUUCGCCUGCAAUGGUACUGUGAUCGAGCACCCCGAGUAUGGAGAAGUGAUCCAGCUGCAGGGCGACCAGCGCAAGAACAUCUGCCAGUUCCUCGUGGAGAUUGGACUGGCUAAAGACGACCAGCUGAAAGUCCAUGGGUUUUAAGUGCCUGUGGGUCACUGGAGCUUUAUGCAAGAUUUCCUCACCAUGAGAUCCCCGUCUGUCCCUUGUCAUAAGUUUAAAACCAGCCGGUUUGUGUAAUGUAACGAUCUUGGGUCCACUGUUCAGUCUGGACUAGUGUAAUUCCGUGAUGUAAUAAACUGACACGAGCCCAUGCU